CCUCAGAUGCUGUUUUCCAGAGCACAUUUGGGCUGGAGAGAGAGUGGCAUCUGAGCACUGAUGUGCAAAUCCCAGCUCUGAUUAGGGUGUGAAAGCCCAAAUGGUUCUUCAGUGAUGUUGUGUGGAACAAAAUGGACCUGCCUCCCCUUAAGUGUCUCCAGAUGGUUCACCUGCUAGCCAGCCUGCUGCUCAAAAGACACCCUUUAUAUCCCCCGCUGCUCAUCCCCGGCUGCCUGGCCGAUGGGCGUCCUCAGUACCUGGCAAAGGAGAAGGUUCUGCUGCCUCAGCACAGGCCUUUCCCAGGCAGCUUCCCUCCCGGGACUCCCUGGAACUCCCCCCAAACUACG